rnacentral:rRNA from 1 species
UGAACGCUGGCGGCGUGCCUAAUACAUGCAAGUCGAGCGAACGGACGAGAAGCUUGCUUCUCUGAUGUUAGCGGCGGAAGGGUGAGUAACACGUGGAUAACCUACCUAUAAGACUGGGAUAACUUCGGGAAACCGUAGCUAAUACCGGAUAAUAUUUUGAACCGCAUGGUUCAAAAGUGAAAGACGGUCUUGCUGUCACUUAUAGAUGGAUCCGCGCUGCAUUAGCUAGUUGGUAAGGUAACGGCUUACCAAGGCAACGAUGCAUAGCCGACCUGAGAGGGUGAUCGGCCACACUGGAACUGAGACACGGUCCAGACUCCUACGGGAGGCAGCAGUAGGGAAUCUUCCGCAAUGGGCGAAAGCCUGACGGAGCAACGCCGCGUGAGUGAUGAAGGUCUUCGGAUCGUAAAACUCUGUUAUUAGGGAAGAACAUAUGUGUAAGUAACUGUGCACAUCUUGACGGUACCUAAUCAGAAAGCCACGGCUAACUACGUG